AUCAACUUUCGAUGGUAGGAUAGAGGCCUACCAUGGUGGUAACGGGUAACGGGGUGUUAGGGCACGACACCGGAGAGGGAGCCUGAGAAACGGCUACCACAUCCAAGGAUGGCAGCAGGCGCGCAAAUUACCCAAUCCCGACACGGGGAGGUAGUGACAAUAAAUAACAAUACGGGGUUCUUUCGGAUCUCGUAAUUGGAAUGAGUACAAUUUAAAUCUCUUAACGAGGAACAAUUGGAGGGCAAGUCUGGUGCCAGCAGCCGCGGUAAUUCCAGCUCCAAUAGCGUAUAUUAAAGUUGUUGCAGUUAAAAAGCUCGUAGUUGAAUUUCGGGGUUAGUAGGCUGGUCGUGCCACAGGUAUGCACUGGUCUCACUGAUUCCUCCUUCCUGAUGAACCGUAAUGCCAUUAAUUUGGUGUUGCGGGGAGACUGGACUGUUACUUUGAAAAAAUUAGAGUGUUUAAAGCAGGCUAACGCUUGAAUACAUUAGCAUGGAAUAAUGAAAUAGGACGUUCGGUCUUAUUUUGUUGGUUUCUAAGAUUGACGUAAUGAUUAAUAGGGAUAGUUGGGGGCAUUAGUAUUCAAUUGUCAGAGGUGAAAUUCUUGGAUUUAUUGAAGACUAACUACUGCGAAAGCAUUUGCCAAGGAUGUUUUCAUUAAUCAAGAACGAAAGUUAGGGGAUCGAAGACGAUCAGAUACCGUCGUAGUCUUAACCAUAAACUAUGCCGACUAGGGAUCGGAUGAUGUUAAUUUUUUAAUGACUCAUUCGGCGCCUUACGGGAAACCAAAGUGUUUGGGUUC
rnacentral:rRNA from 1 species